rnacentral:lncRNA from 1 species
UUUCACAAAAAUUAUGCUACAAGAUCAUUCUUUAUGUAGUAGGUAAACAAGAUCAAUAAUAUUAUCAUCAGUUAAGAUAAUUUGAAAGAAUUAAGAACAGACAAAGCACUAAUGUAUUGUUUUACUUGACACAGUUGGAGCAUAAUACACAAAAAUACAGCACAUAAAAGUCUUAGCAAGUGUAUCACAUGGUUCAUUCUAACAGUGAACCUGCAGAGCACAAUCAUACAACAGUAGCAGCAUGUUCUACAGGAGAGAUAACAAGAGUAAUA